UUACUUACAUGGAUGGGGUCAAUAGCGAUCGAGAAGGCCCAUAGCCUAGGUUAGUAACCUCCAUUACAUUAUGGAGUGGUGCACACCUAAAGUCAGUCCAAAUGGUCGAGCUUACAUCAUAGUUUAUGGUAGCUUGUGCAUGCGUUUGUGCGGCCCCUAU